rnacentral:rRNA from 1 species
GAUUAACGCUGGCGGCGUGCAUAACACAUGCAAGUCGAACGAUGAAACUUAAAUGAUUUCUUCGGAAUGAACUUAAGUGGAUUAGUGGCGGACGGGUGAGUAACGCGUGAGUAACCUGCCUUACACAAGGGGAUAGCCGUUGGAAACGACGAAUAAUACCCUAUGAAACUAUCACUUCGCAUGAAGCGAUAGUCAAAGUGUUAGCGGUGUAAGAUGGACUUGCGUCUGAUUAGCUAGUUGGUGAGAAAAAAGCCCACCAAGGCAACGAUCAGUAGCCGGCUUGAGAGAGUGUACGGCAACAUUGGGACUGAGACACGGCCCAGACUCCUACGGGAGGCAGCAGUGGGGAAUUUUGCACAAUGGGGGAAACCCUGAUGCAGCGACGCCGCGUGAUUGAGAAGGCCUUCGGGUUGUAAAAAUCUUUUGUAUAGGAAGAAAAUGACAGUACUAUACGAAUAAGGUCCGGCUAAUUACGUG